UAUAGGGCCAUCAAUGCAUACAAAUGACUAUAAACAUAAAAUUAUGCAUGAUAUAAUAACUUAAAGUAAGUAUAGAAGGGCUGAAUUAAAAUAUUUCUAGAUGCCAUGGCAAUAUUCUAAUAAAUCUUGAAGGGCUUUAGAAGAAAUUAACCGUCCGUACUUUCAGUUAAGUUAAAUAUUUAACCUUUGUAGAUGCUUUAGCAGUACCAGAAAAUGUACCCUAACUCACACUAAUCCACAUUGACUACAUAUUUUACAAAUGCCAAGAUUAUAAUCUCAUAAUGCAACAUUAGUAAUCUUCCAAUGAAAAAUCAAAUUAUCCACACAAGAUUUUAUUUAUUUAUUAUUCCUAUGCAGUAAGAAACUCAAAAUUGCAAAUAAGAGGCUAAUGGAAUUGUAAGCAAAUAUUAUGAUUCUCAAAAGAAUAAUAUAAUCAUACUUGUGAACUUCCAGCAAGCUCAAGACCAAAAUUAGAUGAAGGACACAGUGGACUGCUUGAACCUAAUCCAUAACCAACAGCACGACUCCAGUUCUUCAAGCCUUUGAAGUUCAUAUGUUGUUUGCUUUCAU
rnacentral:lncRNA from 1 species